AGACCCGAAACCCGGUGAUCUAGCCAUGGGCAGGUUGAAGGUUGGGUAACACUAACUGGAGGACCGAACCGACUAAUGUUGAAAAAUUAGCGGAUGACCUGUGGCUGGGGGUGAAAGGCCAAUCAAACCGGGAGAUAGCUGGUUCUCCCCGAAAGCUAUUUAGGUAGCGCCUCGUGAAUUCAUCUCCGGGGGUAGAGCACUGUUUCGGCUAGGGGGCCAUCCCGGCUUACCAACCCGAUGCAAACUGCGAAUACCGGAGAAUGUUAUCACGGGAGACACACGGCGGGUGCUAACGUCCGUCGUGAAGAGGGAAACAACCCAGACCGCCAGCUAAGGUCCCAAAGUCAUGGUUAAGUGGGAAACGAUGUGGGAAGGCCCAGACAGCCAGGAUGUUGGCUUAGAAGCAGCCAUCAUUUAAAGAAAGCGUAAUAGCUCACUGGUCGAGUCGGCCUGCGCGGAAGAUGUAACGGGGCUAAACCAUGCACCGAAGCUGCGGCAGCGAACGUAUCACCCAAGACAACUUUACGGAGUUGACGAUUGACGGAGCGAAGCGACGUCAAAGCGUUCAUUAAAGUCGAGUUGGCUUAGGGAUACGUUCGUUGGGUAGGGGAGCGUUCUGUAAGCCUGUGAAGGUGUGUCGUGAGGCAUGCUGGAGGUAUCAGAAGUGCGAAUGCUGACAUAAGUAACGAUAAAGCGGGUGAAAAGCCCGCUCGCCGGAAGACCAAGGGUUCCUGUCCAACGUUAAUCGGGGCAGGGUGAGUCGACCCCUAAGGCGAGGCCGAAAGGCGUAGUCGAUGGGAAACGGGUUAAUAUUCCCGUACUUGGUGUUACUGCGAAGGGGGGACGGAGAAGGCUAUGUUGGCCGGGCGACGGUUGUCCCGGUUUAAGCGUGUAGGUGUGUGUUCCAGGUAAAUCCGGUUCACUUUAACACUGAGGCGUGACGACGAGGCACUACGGUGCUGAAGCAACAAAUGCCCUGCUUCCAGGAAAAGCCUCUAAGCAUCAGGUAACACGAAAUCGUACCCCAAACCGACACAGGUGGUCAGGUAGAGAAUACCAAGGCGCUUGAGAGAACUCGGGUGAAGGAACUAGGCAAAAUGGUGCCGUAACUUCGGGAGAAGGCACGCUGACACGUAGGUGAAGUGAUUUACUCAUGGAGCUGAAGUCAGUCGAAGAUACCAGCUGGCUGCAACUGUUUAUUAAAAACACAGCACUGUGCAAACACGAAAGUGGACGUAUACGGUGUGACGCCUGCCCGGUGCCGGAAGGUUAAUUGAUGGGGUCAGCGUAAGCGAAGCUCCUGAUCGAAGCCCCGGUAAACGGCGGCCGUAACUAUAACGGUCCUAAGGUAGCGAAAUUCCUUGUCGGGUAAGUUCCGACCUGCACGAAUGGCGUAAUGAUGGCCAGGCUGUCUCCACCCGAGACUCAGUGAAAUUGAACUCGCUGUGAAGAUGCAGUGUACCCGCGGCAAGACGGAAAGACCCCGUGAACCUUUACUAUAGCUUGACACUGAACAUUGAGCCUUGAUGUGUAGGAUAGGUGGGAGGCUUUGAAGUGUGGACGCCAGUCUGCAUGGAGCCGACCUUGAAAUACCACCCUUUAAUGUUUGAUGUUCUAACGUGGACCCGUAAUCCGGGUUGCGGACAGUGUCUGGUGGGUAGUUUGACUGGGGCGGUCUCCUCCUAAAGAGUAACGGAGGAGCACGAAGGUUGGCUAAUCCUGGUCGGACAUCAGGAGGUUAGUGCAAUGGCAUAAGCCAGCUUGACUGCGAGCGUGACGGCGCGAGCAGGUGCGAAAGCAGGUCAUAGUGAUCCGGUGGUUCUGAAUGGAAGGGCCAUCGCUCAACGGAUAAAAGGUACUCCGGGGAUAACAGGCUGAUACCGCCCAAGAGUUCAUAUCGACGGCGGUGUUUGGCACCUCGAUGUCGGCUCAUCACAUCCUGGGGCUGAAGUAGGUCCCAAGGGUAUGGCUGUUCGCCAUUUAAAGUGGUACGCGAGCUGGGUUUAGAACGUCGUGAGACAGUUCGGUCCCUAUCUGCCGUGGGCGCUGGAGAACUGAGGGGGGCUGCUCCUAGUACGAGAGGACCGGAGUGGACGCAUCACUGGUGUUCGGGUUGUCAUGCCAAUGGCACUGCCCGGUAGCUAAAUGCGGAAGAGAUAAGUGCUGAAAGCAUCUAAGCACGAAACUUGCCCCGAGAUGAGUUCUCCCUGAGACUUAGAGUCUCCUGAAGGAACGUUGAAGACGACGACG
rnacentral:rRNA from 2 species